rnacentral:rRNA from 1 species
UACAGAGGUCUCAAGCGUUGUUCGGAUUCAUUGGGCGUAAAGGGUGUGUAGGUGGCGCGCUAAGUCGGGUGUGAAUUUCGGAGCUUAACUCCGAAACUGCAUUCGAUACUGCCGUGCUUGAGGACUGGAGAGGAGACGUGGAAUUUACGGUGUAGCGGUGAAAUGCGUAGAUAUCGAUAAGGAAGACCAGUGGCGAAGGCG